rnacentral:rRNA from 1 species
GACGAACGCUGGCGGCGUGCUUAACACAUGCAAGUCGAACGGAAAGGCCCUGCUUUUGUGGGGUGCUCGAGUGGCGAACGGGUGAGUAACACGUGAGUAACCUACCCUUGACUUUGGGAUAACUUCAGGAAACUGGGGCUAAUACCGGAUAGGAGCUCCUGCUGCACGGUGGGGGUUGGAAAGUUUCGGCGGUUGGGGAUGGACUCGCGGCUUAUCAGCUUGUUGGUGGGGUAGUGGCUUACCAAGGCUUUGACGGGUAGCCGGCAUGAGAGGGUGGACGGGGACAUUGGGACUGCGAUAGGGCCCAGACUGGUACGGGAGGCAGCAGGGGGGAAUAUUGCACAAUGGGCGGAAGCGUGAUGCAGCAACGCCGCGUGCGGGAUGCCGGCCUUCGGGUUGUAAACCGCUUUCGCCUGUGACGAAGCGUGAGUGACGGUAAUGGGUAAAGAAGCACCGGCUAACUACGUG